GAAUUCAACUCCUACGGGAGGCAGCAGUAGGGAAUCUUCCACAAUGGGCGCAAGCCUGAUGGAGCAACACCGCGUGAGUGAAGAAGGGUUUCGGCUCGUAAAGCUCUGUUGUUGGAGAAGAACGUGCGUGAGAGUAACUGUUCACGCAGUGACGGUAUCCAACCAGAAAGUCACGGCUAACUACGUGCCAGCAGCCGCGGUAAUACGUAGGUGGCAAGCGUUAUCCGGAUUUAUUGGGCGUAAAGCGAGCGCAGGCGGUUACUUAGGUCUGAUGUGAAAGCCUUCGGCUUAACCGAAGAAGUGCAUCGGAAACCGGGCGACUUGAGUGCAGAAGAGGACAGUGGAACUCCAUGUGUAGCGGUGGAAUGCGUAGAUAUAUGGAAGAACACCAGUGGCGAAGGCGGCUGUCUGGUCUGCAACUGACGCUGAGGCUCGAAAGCAUGGGUAGCGAACAGGAUUAGAAACCCUAGUAGUCCAGGCGUU
rnacentral:rRNA from 1 species